CCUGUCUCACGAGAACCUGAAUAUCUCUUAACAUACUGUCCGCAUGAUUGUUUCGUUACUUUCCUAUGAAAGUAGAUUCACCAAGGUUUGUUUACAUAAUUUAUUCACUAUUUAAUUCCAUUCCUACUAUUUUUAGUGAUUUUCCAAAUCUACAUCACUGCUGCUGUCAGCAUCUGCCUUUAAGGUAGACUUUACCUAUUUCAUGGUUUCCAUGAUUCAACUAGCCCUUUUUGCAUAAAUAGCACAAUUUAUGAAAGUGAUUAACCAUCCCCGUGGCCAAUCCUUGUCAAGCAUAUCC
rnacentral:lncRNA from 1 species